UAGAAAUAGAGGCUCCUCCGCCCACAGCAGCCUCGCUGGAUCCCAGUCUCAGAGCAGGUCCACCGCAUUCUCCUGCCACCCAGGGUCCAGCCGGCGUUCACCAUGCGGGGACUCUGCUUCGUGCUCCUGACCUGCUUCAUCCUUGUUGCUCACUUUGCUACAGCCCGGGUCCUUGUCCUAGACUCAGAAGAGAACUGCAGUCGUGCUUAUGGCCAAUGUAAACUUUUUUCUUGCCCAGAAGAUCAUGAAACUAUUGGUUUCUGUUGGAUCUUUGGAAUAGGGAAAUGCUGUCGGCGCUGUGGUGAGCUGAAGAACUCGGGAGAACAAGCAGCCAGAGAAUGAAAAAAAGGGCUGACUUUAACCCUGAAAGUGCUGUGAUUAUUUCCUGAAAAUAAAGAAAUGACCCGUGCUGUAUGUAA